rnacentral:lncRNA from 1 species
UUUUAGGUUCUCAAUAGAUUAUCUAAGUGCUAAUAUUUAAAAAAGUUUUUUUCUUUCAGAAUCACUUAGCAUUGACUUGUACCGAUUCACAAUAUUCAGGAACAAAUCUGAGCUUUUCUGACCUUAAAGUUCUUGGAAAAGAGACCAGACCUGCAUCAAUUACAAUAAACGAGAGCAAUCACAAAGCAUAUGUGCUCCUUCUUUUAAUUUUAGUGAUAUGAAUAAGGCAUUUUGGAGGAAAACAACCCACAGGCUAGGUGUAAGUCCCAUGGAUAAGUCCAUGGCCACUCAUCUGUGCUGCCACCUCCAGCAGAUUAUACAAGAACCCAAGAAAAAGAAUUUAUCCUUCUAUGUUAAAGAAGCAACAGAAUUGGACAGAUGAGACAAGCCAUAGAAAUGCCAUGCCAUGGACUCAAGAAUGAUUUUGUAUCAGACUUCAAAGAUCAUACAGCAUUUCCAGAUUUCUUAACAUCAACAGCUGAAGGAAAAAUGAUGAAAACUGCAGAAAUGUAUAUUACCAUGCUGAUCUGAUGUUUGAU